rnacentral:rRNA from 1 species
UACGUAGGGGGCGAGCGUUGUCCGGAUUCAUUGGGCGUAAAGCGCGGGCAGGCGGCCCGCUCAGUCGGCCGUGAAAGCGCCGGGCUCAACUCGGCGAGGUCGGGCGAUACUGGCGGGCUGGAGGCUGGUAGAGGGCGGUGGAAUUCCGGGUGUAGUGGUGGAAUGCGUAGAGCUCCGGAGGAACACCAGUGGCGAAGGCGGCCGCCUGGGCCAG